GAACUCCUGACCUCAGGUUACCCACUCGCCUCAGCCUCCCAAAGUCUGAGAUUACAGGCGUGAGCCACCAUGCCAGCUUUGUUAUCUUGUUUCAUCCAUACCCUGCUUUUAAAAAUUGCAAAUAUUUCAAUAUGUAUCUCUAAUAGAUAAGGAUUUUCUUAGUAGCCUAAAUAUUGUCAUGCUGAUUUUGUUUUUUCACAACUACUUCUUCCUGCACACAUCUUUCCAAGAUUGUGUGUGUCUGCUUUGGCUUCUGACUUUCAUGGAAGAUAGUUUCCUCGGGGCCUGGUGAUCUUUGGUGCUCUGCUCACGUUUAAGAACAGGACACUGAGGGGCUCUCUCCUUGCAGCGCUACGCUAGAGCAGAGUACGAGUCUGAGGCGAAGGGAGUCAUGGCGGGACAAGCGUUUAGAAAGUUUCUUCCACUCUUUGACCAAGUAUUGGUUGGAAGGAGUGCUGCUGAAACUGUAACCAAAGGAGGCAUUAUGCUUCCAGAAAAAUCGCAAGGAAAAGUAUUGCAAGCAACAAUUGUCGCUGUUGGAUCGGGUUAUCUAAAGGAAAGGGUGGAGAGAUUCAGCCAGUUAGCAUGAAAGUUGGAGAUAAAGUUCUUCUCCUAGAAUAUGGAGGCACCAAAAUAGUUCUAGAUGACAAGGAUUAUUUCCUAUUCAGAGACGGUGACAUUCUUGGAAAGUACAUAGACUGAAAUAAGUCACUAUUGAAAUGGCAUCAAUGUGAAGCUGCCCAUGCCACUGAAGUUCUGAAAUCUUUCAUCAUGUAAAUAAUUUCCAUAUUUCUCUUUUAUAAUAAACUAGUGAUAACUAAUGACAUCCAGUGUCUCCAAAAUUGUUUCCUUGUACUAAUAUAAACAUUUCCAAAUAAAAAUAUGUAAAUGAGAAAAAAAAAGAAA